GGUCAAGCGAACAAGUGCAUGUGGUGGAUGCCUUGGCGAUCACAGGCGAUGAAGGACGCGGUAGCCUGCGAAAAGCCCCGGGGAGCUGGCAAACAAGCUUUGAUCCGGGGAUGUCCGAAUGGGGAAACCCACUCCGUAUGGAGUAUCCAUGACUGAAUACAUAGGUCAUGUGAAGCGAACGCGGUGAACUGAAACAUCUAAGUAACCGCAGGAAAAGAAAUCAACCGAGAUUCCCAAAGUAGUGGCGAGCGAAAUGGGAUGAGCCUUGUACUCUUUAUUUGUAUUGUUAGCCGAACGCUCUGGAAAGUGCGGCCAUAGCAGGUGAUAGCCCUGUAGGCGAAAACAGUAUGAAAGAACUAGGUGUACGACAAGUAGGGCGGGACACGUGAAAUCCUGUCUGAAGAUGGGGGGACCAUCCUCCAAGGCUAAAUACUCGUGAUCGACCGAUAGUGAACCAGUACCGUGAGGGAAAGGCGAAAAGAACCCCGGGAGGGGAGUGAAAUAGAUCCUGAAACCGCAUGCAUACAAACAGUCGGAGCCUCGUAAGGGGUGACGGCGUACCUUUUGUAUAAUGGGUCAGCGACUUACGUUCAGUAGCAAGCUUAACCGUAUAGGGCAGGCGUAGCGAAAGCGAGUCCGAAUAGGGCGUUCAGUUGCUGGGCGUAGACCCGAAACCAGGUGAUCUAUCCAUGGCCAGGAUGAAGGUGCGGUAACACGUACUGGAGGUCCGAACCCACUAACGUUGAAAAGUUAGGGGAUGAGCUGUGGAUAGGGGUGAAAGGCUAAACAAACCUGGAAAUAGCUGGUUCUCUCCGAAAACUAUUUAGGUAGUGCCUCGUGUCUCACCUUCGGGGGUAGAGCACUGUCAUGGUUGGGGGGUCUAUUGCAGAUUACCCCGCCAUAGCAAACUCCGAAUACCGAAGAGUGCAAUCACGGGAGACAGACAUCGGGUGCUAACGUCCGGUGUCAAGAGGGAAACAACCCAGACCGCCAGCUAAGGUCCCCAAAUAUGGCUAAGUGGGAAACGAAGUGGGAAGGCUAAAACAGUCAGGAGGUUGGCUUAGAAGCAGCCACCCUUUAAAGAAAGCGUAAUAGCUCACUGAUCGAGUCGUCCUGCGCGGAAGAUGUAACGGGGCUAAGCCAUAUACCGAAGCUGCGGAUGCGAGCUUGCUCGCAUGGUAGGAGAGCGUUCCGUAAGCCUGCGAAGGUGCCUUGUAAAGGGUGCUGGAGGUAUCGGAAGUGCGAAUGCUGACAUGAGUAGCGAUAAAGGGGGUGAAAGGCCCCCUCGCCGUAAGCCCAAGGUUUCCUACGCAACGUUCAUCGGCGUAGGGUGAGUCGGCCCCUAAGGCGAGGCAGAAAUGCGUAGCUGAUGGGAAGCAGGUCAAUAUUCCUGCACCGUCGUUAGAUGCGAUGGGGGGACGGAUCGCGGAAGGUUGUCCGGGUGUUGGACGUCCCGGUCGCUGCAUUGGAGAAGGCGCUUAGGCAAAUCCGGGCGCGGAAUUCAAGGGUGUGGCGCGAGCGACUUCGGUCGCGAAGCAAUUGGAAGUGGUUCCAAGAAAAGCCUCUAAGCUUCAGUCUAACGAUGACCGUACCGCAAACCGACACAGGUGGGCGAGAUGAGUAUUCUAAGGCGCUUGAGAGAACUCGGGAGAAGGAACUCGGCAAAUUGGUACCGUAACUUCGGGAUAAGGUACGCCCUUGUAGCUUGACUGGCCUGCGCCAGAAGGGUGAAGGGGUUGCAAUAAACUGGUGGCUGCGACUGUUUAAUAAAAACACAGCACUCUGCAAACACGAAAGUGGACGUAUAGGGUGUGACGCCUGCCCGGUGCCGGAAGAUUAAAUGAUGGGGUGCAAGCUCUUGAUUGAAGUCCCGGUAAACGGCGGCCGUAACUAUAACGGUCCUAAGGUAGCGAAAUUCCUUGUCGGGUAAGUUCCGACCUGCACGAAUGGCGUAACGAUGGCCACACUGUCUCCUCCCGAGACUCAGCGAAGUUGAAGUGUUUGUGAUGAUGCAAUCUACCCGCGGCUAGACGGAAAGACCCCAUGAACCUUUACUGUAGCUUUGCAUUGGACUUUGAACCGAUCUGUGUAGGAUAGGUGGGAGGCUAUGAAACCGGAACGCUAGUUUCGGUGGAGCCGUCCUUGAAAUACCACCCUGGUUUGUUUGAGGUUCUAACCUUGGUCCGUGAUCCGGAUCGGGGACAGUGCAUGGUAGGCAGUUUGACUGGGGCGGUCUCCUCCCAAAGGGUAACGGAGGAGUACGAAGGUACGCUAGGUACGGUCGGAAAUCGUGCUGAUAGUGCAAUGGCAUAAGCGUGCUUAACUGCGAGACCGACAAGUCGAGCAGGUGCGAAAGCAGGUCAUAGUGAUCCGGUGGUUCUGUAUGGAAGGGCCAUCGCUCAACGGAUAAAAGGUACUCUGGGGAUAACAGGCUGAUACCGCCCAAGAGUUCAUAUCGACGGCGGUGUUUGGCACCUCGAUGUCGGCUCAUCUCAUCCUGGGGCUGUAGCCGGUCCCAAGGGUAUGGCUGUUCGCCAUUUAAAGAGGUACGUGAGCUGGGUUUAAAACGUCGUGAGACAGUUUGGUCCCUAUCUGCCGUGGGCGUUGGAUAUUUGAAGGGGGCUGCUCCUAGUACGAGAGGACCGGAGUGGACGAACCUCUGGUGUACCGGUUGUGACGCCAGUCGCAUCGCCGGGUAGCUAUGUUCGGAAGAGAUAACCGCUGAAAGCAUCUAAGCGGGAAACUCGCCUUAAGAUGAGAUAUCCCUGGAGGCUUGACCUCCUUGAAGGGUCGUUCGAGACCAGGACGUUGAUAGGUCGGGUGUGUAAGCGCAGUAAUGCGUUCAGCUAACCGAUACUAAUUGCCCGUAAGGCUUGAUCCU
rnacentral:rRNA from 1 species